UGUGUUUGAUGGUUGAUACCGGGUGAGGUGAUGGGAGAAGGGUCCAUUGUGACUGCUAGCUGGGUUCUGGACCUGGAAAGCUCUGGAAUCCCAUGGGGACGAAUGGGGGAAAGGGAUAGCCCAGCUGUGGGGUUCUCAGCUCUGGUGUGCCCCAGGAGGACGGACCUGUAGCUCAGGACGCAGGUGACGAAAUGUGGAGUCCUAACUUCGAAGGCCAGAGGUGCAACCGUUACAGGUUGGAAGCUUCUUGGAAGAAGGUAAAAGCUUUGAAGUCAAGUUAGAAGGAAGGAUGUGCUAGCAGUGCGGCCUCGGCCGCGUCAUUUAGCCUUUCGGCGUUGUGCUGAUUUCAUUUGCUAGGCCCAGUUCUAAAAUUCUGCGAGCCUGAGGCUGCGUGUGCAAUGGCACGUGCUUGACUAAGAAUAGAACACUGAUGACUGGAAAUGCCACUCCAGUGGGGCAGCAAGGGACACACUGCCAAGACUCAGAGAGGCUACAAGAGAGGAUGUAGAAGACAUGGAAGAACCACAUAGCCAGAGGAAGGAGGUUGUAUUUGAAGCAAUGCUAAAUUUUCGCCAACACAUUUCAGGAUGGUGACAAGGAAAUUAGGAGCCAACUCACAGAGUGGGAGCAAACUGGGUAUGGUGGCUCAUGAUUGUUAUCACAGCAGAAGACUGAGGCAGGAUUGCUGUAAGCCGAAAGCCAGACUGAGCCUUGUCACAAACAAAGAAAAACAGCAAUGUGAGCAAAUAGCAUCCUUUGAAGGGUGCUCAGUGCUGAACCAAAAGUCACUCUGUAAAGAACCUGUCAGGCUCUCCUGAAGCCUGUUUCUCAUUCUAAAGGUAUGGGAUGCCCCAGAGUGUAGACAGAAUGGACUCUUGGAACUGCAUUGAACCCCAGACCUUUAAGCACCAAUGGGAGGGGAGAGAAUACAUCACUGUUGUGUUUUUUUAUCCCAUUGUUAUGUUACCUCAAUAAAGUUUCAUCUCAAGGCUUA